GGAGGACGCUCACCACUUUGUGGUUCAUGACUGGGGUGAAGUCGUAACAAGGUAGCCCUAGGGGAACCUGGGGCUGGAUCACCUCCUUAUACGAUGAU
rnacentral:rRNA from 1 species